rnacentral:lncRNA from 1 species
GCAUGCAAAUAAGGGGCAUUGGAUUAGUGACACGCAAUUUUUCUUUUGAGAGUGGGUGUUGUCUUUUAGCCUAGCAAAGCCAACUUCCUGCCUUUCAGGUGUUGCAAUCUGAAAGGGCUUUGCUUUGUCUCCAUCUCCUUCGUAUCAUUAUCACUCUUGCCUGUUUGUUUAUGAAUAAAUAAAUAGGAGGAUCUUUUUUUAGAAUUUUUGUUCAUAUUAUUUGCUAGAAAACAAGUUGCUAAUAUGAUGCUCCAUUAAUAUUGUUGGAUAUUUUUCACGGAGUUGAUUUGUUUGGAGUGAAUUUAGUUGGAUAAACCAGAAGUUACUGUCACAUGGGGCCACAUGAACUCGUGAAAGUCAAAAAGUGCAUGUGACGAUAUAUACAUACUCGGAAUAGUAUCGAGUGUAUCACCCAAGAUCUUAGAGCAAAGAGUGCUGCACCCAAUGUUACCAAUGGGGGUAGGUGGGGAUAGUACACAGCUAAAUUCGUGUCAGAUGUCAUUUUCAUGGAUUCAUAUAAGUCAUUAAUUAUUGCCCAUUUAGGUCUGUCCCACAUUUAAUUAAUCAAUGUAAGUAAUUUGUCUUGAAUUUCGUUCGGGAAUUUGACCUUUGGUCCCUCAAGUUUGGUGGUGUAGUUACUUUUAUCUGCUUAAUAUGCUUAAUUUCAUAUUAGUUGAUCCUUAUUUUUUAUUAUAGUUUAUUGUCUCUGAAUAGUAUAUUUGUGGUAUAGGCUAAGGUGUUCCACUACGGAUCAAUUAGUUUGAUCGUGGAGCCAUGCAGAUCAGCACAUUUGAAGGCAAUGGAAGUAGCAAAGGAGGCAGGUGCAUUGCUCUCUUAUGACCCAAACCUCCGUUUGCCACUGUGGCCUUCAGCAGAGGAGGCAAAGAAGCAAAUCAAGAGCAUCUGGGACAAGGCUGAUGUGAUCAAGGUCAGCGAUGUCGAGCUCGAAUUCCUCACCGGAAAUCCCAAGAUUGAUGAUGAAUCUGCCAUGUCUUUAUGGCAUCCUAACUUGAAGCUCCUCUUGGUCACCCUUGGUGAAAAGGGUUGCAACUACUAUACCAAGGUAUAUCUUUCAAUCUUCCAUUAUUUUAUUUGAUUGCUUGUUAUUGAAUUCUCUAGUAGUAGAUAGUGGGUGAGAAAGGGGUAGGUAGGUAAAAGGUUAGAAGAAAUGAACCGACUGUUGUUUAAUUUGUAAUUAAAGUGGUAUCAAGUAGGCCAAGGAGGACCUACAACACAUUGGUGUGCCUAAUUUUACUUCUUCCACUUGAUCUUUUGCCAAAAGUUUAGGACAUAAUUUUAGAGUAUUCUUUACUUUUGGCGGUACUGCUAAUUAUAGUGUCCCCUCGUGGCCAUUAAGGGCGCAUACCUUUCUAAUUGUCUUUUUUAAUUAGAAUCCGUGAUUUCAAUAAUACUGACAAGGUUUGGUUGAAUAGUUACUAUGUAACCACUCAAUUGUUUAACAGAGAAACUUGGAGUAGGCCAUUCUCUAAAAUAAAAUACUCUCUAUUUUUUUGACGAAAAUUUGUAAAUUGGUUAUAUAAUAAUUUGAUGUGACGUUUUUUUUUUUUUUUUUUUUUUUUUUUUUUUUUUUUUUUUUUUUUUUUUUUUUUUUUUUUUUUUUUUUUUUUUUUUUUUUUUUUUUUUUUUUUUUUUUUUUUUUUUUUUUUUUUUUUUUUUUUUUUUUUUUUUUUUUUUGGAGUA